GAAGGAUUUGAGCCUGGGCUUCAAUCAAGGCGGAGGCUGCAGGGCCCACGGGGCACCCCCCACCCCCUACACACGCCUCCCCAGAGCCCUGGAAGGCGCAGCCCCGGGGGGCUGCCCCCCGGAGGAGGCAGCUGCGUUAUUGCCUAGGGCCCUUCCAAAAGGUGGUAUCGUCCCACACCCAGCAACAGUGCCCGUGUGAGGGUGCCCGUAUCCAGCCCCCUCGCACCCCCUGGCAAGGACGCAGUGUGUCAGGGGAAGCGAACCAGCCCCAAAUGAGUUGCAGAUAAACCUGCCAGGAAUUUCAGCGAAUGAAAUGCGGACUGUGUAAAGGCCAGAGGACAGAAAACGCUCCACUUUUGAUGAAAGGAGGUCUGCUCGGCUUCGAAUCCUCCCUCCUGCUGGUCAGGAGACGCAAGGAUAUAUCCAGAGGAGCUGAUGAAUUGAGGGGAAAAAAACAAGGCCACUGUGAGUUGCCUUUCAAGUGCUGUGCUGAUAUAAAAACCAAACAACUUGAAACUGUUCCAAGAGGGGAUUAAAGCAACAUGUUAUUGUGAGUGAUUGCUUAAUUUAUUGAGCUGUGGCAAGAUCUGUAAUGAAAUACAGCUCUUGCAACUGAUAACCUCCUGCUGCAAUUGAACUUGACAAUUAAGGAAUAUUUUCCAAGGAUUUUUCUGGAACAGCUUAGGAUUUUUCGUCUCCAUGGUGGGGUGCUUCUCAGCACUCAUUUUUGCAGGCAAGCUUUUUUUUUUUUUUUAAAGAAUGAAAGGCUGACAUUAAUGAGGAAAUAGUGGCAUUUUAUUGAAUGCCUUGUGGGCCCAGGCACUUAAUAUACAUUAUUUCUAACCCUGACAACAACCCAAUGAAGUAACUCUUAUUAGUCCCUAUUUUAAAGAUACAGGGUUUCUAGGUGUUAAGUAAUUUUCCACAGUGAUGUUGUCCAAGUCAGUAGCCAUUAGCCACUUGUGGCUACUUACGUCUAAAUUAGUUAAAAAUUGAAAAAUUCACUUCCUAGGUUGCAGUAGUGACUAGUUCAAGUGCCCACUCACUUGUGUGGCUACUGGGUACCACACUGGACAGUGCAGAUGUAGGCCGUUUGGAUGCCUGGAAAGUCCUAGUGAUCAGCAUUGUCCCAGAUUUUGUAGGUAGAAACUGGCAGUGCUAGAAUUCAAACCAGAGCCAAUGAGCUUCGAAGGCAGCACUAUUCUGUCAUUACCCCUUCUUUCUUCGCUUCCUCGGGCUGAGAGGUAAGCACUAGAGCUGUGACUGUAAACCCUGGCUGCACAUUCAAAUUACCUGAACUGCUUUAAAAAAAUAUUGAUGGAUCUCCUGGCCCUGGACAUUCUUUGGUUCGUAGCCCAGCACUCAAUCCACCAAGCCACACCAGCCAGGGCUGGAGAUUCGGACUUAGCUGUGAUUUGGGGGUGCGGAGGCAGGCAUGAGGGGUUUUUAUAAUUCCUGAUGUGGACAGCCAGGAUUGAGAGCAGCUAGAUGAGAGGGUCCACACAGUAUGGUGGAAAGAACUGGUCCAUCUGCCAUGAGGAUGCGGUCCCUUGCGGACCCAGACGUGGCCUUCCACCAGGGCCACAUCCAAGCCUUUCAUCAGACACUCAGUUUCAUUUCUGAAGGAUAGACUUAAGUGCUCUCUCACAUGAUUCCUGCUUGAUGGGAGGCACAGUGAGGAGCUCUGCUUUCAGAACCAGGGCUUGUCACACUGUGGUGGAGGGAGGAGAUGGGGAUGUAGGAUUGUGGAGACAAAGUGGAGCCCACAGCCCCAAAUUUGGAUUGGGAGCAUCAGGAUGAACUCAUGCUAUAAUUUGUCUUACAGAAUAAAGCAUGUGUUUCCUAGCUCCAUCCACAGAAAAAGUUAGACAUGAUUAACAGUUCAGCAGCAGUGAGCACCGCCAGCACUCAGAUUAGGGUCUCUAAACACCACUUCUAUGAGAAAUCAGGGCUCUGUGCAGAUACAGCUAAUUCCAGGUCUGAGGGAGGACAUGUGCCAGACGGGCCAAAACAUCUGUCACUCAGGUAGCAUGGAAGCUCUCAAAGCUUCCUGGGUUCAUGUCAGAAAAGAUGAAGAGGACAGUGUGAUAGGAUAGGUGGCCAGAGACAGGACAGUUUGAGCAUCAAGAAGAGUAACUGUGCUGGACUGAAGUGUGUAUAUAUGUCUAAAUCUAUGAGUGCGCAACGAUCCUUAGGAAAAAAUCAUAAACUCAUUUGUCAUCUUCAGAGGAUGUUCAGAAACCAACUCAUUCUUGAAAACUGUCAAAGGAAAGAAUCUAGCAUUUCUCCUUUCUGGAAGUUUCUUUUUAUAGAAGUAUUCCAGCUAACCAACCAAGACAGAAGGACAGAAUUUAUUUGACACCAUUUUGCAGCCUCUAACGGACCCAGAUGGUGGUCGCCACCGCCAUGGCCAAGCCCUGUGUGCCUUCAAGUAGAAACACAAAACAGCCCCUUGGAAGUCAUCGUGGAAACACACACACACUAACCAGGCGUUAGUCUGAGGAUCUUAUAGCUCUACCUCAUGUUUUUCAAGCGAUAGAAGGGGGAGAUAAACGUGUAUCACACCACUAUGGUGACGCAAGAAGCAAAAUCCAGUCUGUAGGACACUCGACAGAACAAGCAACCCAGUUCCUCAACAAAGGCAUUGCAAGGGAAGAAAAAAGGAGGGCAAGAGCCUCCAGAUUGAGAAAGAGACAUGUCAACCAAUCCCAAUGAGUGAAACUUGUAUGGAUCCUAAUUCUAACCAACUGCAGAGAAAACAAUUAUGAGACAAUCAAAGAACUUUGAACACUCGCUAGCUGUUUGCUGACAUUAAAGCAUCACUGUUAGUUUUAGUAGGGGUGAUAGUAAAGUCAUAUACUAAGAUAUUUGCAAAAGAAAUGAUUGCUGUCUUGAUUUUGAUUUUGCUUCUAAAUACCUGAGAUGACGGAGGAGGGGAAGGGUUACCGAUGGAAGAGGACUAGCUGAGAGUUGGUGUUUAUUAAAGUUGGGUGAUGGGGAACUGGGGUUCAUUAUACCUUACACUCUAUUUUUGUG